CUACAAGGAGAGCCUGAAGACAUUUCCAAAGAGAAGGCUCGAAUAGCUGCUAAAGAGGUAAUUGACGUUCAUAUGACUACUCAAUUAUAGACGUGCACACAGUAUGUAUGUAAUUAUGAUUGUUUUACAAUGCCAGCGUAUGGUACAAUUUCUUGAAGCAUGGAGUAAUUUUAUUUUAGUUUAUUUUUUUUGGGAUAUAUUUACAAUUUCCGCUAUCCCUGUGGCGCAAUACCUAUAAAAAUAUAUGGACCUCGAAUUCUGCCUUUAAUAAAUCUUUAUAUGCCGAGGGAAAUUAAAUAUCAGAUCAAACGAUAAAAUAAUUCAGCAUUGCUACGUGUCUCGUUUGUAUAAGUCUUUUAAUUUGAAAAUUGUAUUAAUUUCUCUCUGGAGUGAUAGUUUGUCUUUAAGUUUAAUCUGUAUAUAGUUUGACUUUAUGUUAUCGAUGAAAUGUUAAACACAAUACAGUUUUACUCAUUUUCAUAGUUGCUUGUGUCCAAUUAUAUUUUUAUUAUGAUGUUUGAUCAUGCACUGUUUUAUGUGACCCCUCUAUUAGUUCAUAUACAUUAGAUGGUUAUAAAACGAGGAUGUAUAUUGAGAAUUUGAUUCCGUCUUUUUGUGUAAUGGAAGGUGAGUGGGCCAGUACUCGUGGAGGAUACUUGCCUUUGUUUCAGUGCCCUCAAGGGCCUCCCAGGUAGUUAAAUUUAGAAUCAUUUUAUAAUGAGGUUAUAUAUGUUUCUAUUCUAUCUCAAAUUCAUUUUUUAAUCUGUGAUUACUUCGUGUUUAUUAACAUUGCCGACUUAUUUCUCUCUGUGCAUCGUGGCUAAUAAAUGCAUGUUGUUGUCUACUUUGCAGGGCCUUACAUGUAAGUAUCCUAUUUUAUCAUUCUUCUGAGGUGAACUUCCUUUCCAUCUUUAGGGUAUUGUUUAACUCUUGCCCCCCCCCCCCUCCCCCCUCCCCCCGGGGCGUCUGGUGGCAUUCCUAGGCUAAAAGGCACCAUGACAUCCAAAUUUACUUCUCUGAGUUAUGUUUUGUAAAUCUAAAUAAAUUAUGUUGAUUCUGUGUACCUUAUCAUUAUUGAGAUUGAUAACUUCAUUUACUAAGCCUUCAUUUGGGAAGAAUUUAUAAAUAGAUAGAAAUGAGUGGUGGAUAAGUGGAUUGUACUUGUAGGUCUAUUGGGAUGUGUGAUUGAAAAUGAAGUUUGACUUAUUUAUAGAUUAUUUAUAAUAUUUUUUCAAAUGGAAGCUAAAUGAUCAUUUUUUUUCCUCUCUGCUUUGAUUGAUUUUUCUUUUACUAGGAUAUGAUUUACAUUUUAGGUCAUUGAUAUAUAUAUAUAAUGUUAGUGAGAUCAUUACUCUAAUAGACCAUUUAGGCUCAUGAUCUGACAUGUCUGAUUUGGUUCAUUCAAGCUUAGCACUAUUAAAUCUCUGUUGAGCCUGAGCCACCUAACGGACAUAACUCAUAAUAUGUUUAAUUAUUUUAAAGGCAUAUUGAUUAAUUAUAACUGUACCAAAUGUAUAAUAUUUGAGAGCUCUUAUUUGCUUCAAUUAUAUGGUGAACAGCUUGGACUCAAUUCUGUAUCUCACAUCGUGUCUGUAGAUUCACUUUCCUUCUUUCACAAUCAUCUUCUCUAAUUGUGGUAACUUUUCUAAAAUCUGUGUAACAUACUUUACUUAGAUACAAAUGAAAAAUGAAAAAGAAAACAUUUGCUUUCGCCCUUGAAUGAUAAAAUUGUUACUGGCAAUGAGGAUUUUGAACUAUUAAUAUUCAAAAUUAAAAGUCAACAACAUUAUGGGAUUUGUCCUUCUUCAAAGUGUAAUGUUUAUUAUGAUCUUGCCAAAAAAAUUUUAACUCUGCCAAAGAUGCCAUUGCCCCUGAUAGAAUGAAUAUAUUAUCUUUCCACAAUAUUUUAUUAACACCCCUGUUUCUUAUGUGUUUUUAUGAGCCCUACUUAAUUGGAAAAAUUUGCAGCAAGUGGUUUCUUGAAAAGAUUGGUCAUGAAGGUAUUCUCACUUUCCUUGGUUUCUUUUUAUGAACAAUUAUUGCACAUUCAUCCUUUUAACCCUCCCCAUAUCUUUAUUUAGAAAGUUGCUUAUUUUUAUUCUCUACUAGGUUUGAACAAUUUAUUGAUGGCAUAUGAGGAUAAAUCAGCGUAUGCUCUCUGUGUAUUCUCUCUUUCUCUCGGGCCAAAUGCUGAUCCAAUUACCUUUUUGGGAAAAACAGUGGUAUGAUUCUGUGCUUUCAGAACAAAGCAUAUUAUUGUUUUGUACUUUGUAUUCCAAUAAAUAGAUGUCACAACCAAUCUUCUUCCAUACUAAUUGGUUAAUUGCUACUGAACUAGGCUUAACAAUUUGAGUGAUACGUAAGAAAGAAACACUGGACGUGAAAGAAAAUUAGAAAUUUGAAAGGUAAACAUAAAAAGACCAGGAAAAUUGUGAAGGAAAUGUAGCGAUACUAUUCUAUCCAUUACAGCAUACAGUGCAGGUUCCUAUUACAUGCAUUUGUAUAGAGGAUUUGAUCUAGUUCCUGCCCAGUCACAUGUUCAACUUAAAAUGUAAAUAUAAUUUGAAAUUAAAAAUAAAUGAAAUAAAGCUGGUAAUCUGGAGUGCGAGAGGUGUGUUUGGUGCUAUCAAGUGCUUUGACAGCUAGAGUCAAUUGAAAAUGUGUAAAGACUAUGCUGCCCUAAUUAUUGAGGAAAAUUUAUUGUGCGUCUCUUCAACUUUAUUCCUCAAUUGUUGGUGGGGUAUAUCAACUGAUGUUUUAGAUACAAAAGCAAAAAAAAUUGUUUCUGAAAAGUGGCAAGGGAUCAAGCUUUGCAUUCUUGGGAUGAAAUAAUUAAGGACAAAGUCUCAUGAGUUGUCUCGGCUCCCAAACUGUGUGUGAGUUUCCUUAUAAGGCUCUUAACUUGAACUAAAAAUUGAGAACUAUCUAUUUACGUUGAUACGAAUAACUUCAAAGUUUUUGUUGAGAACCUGAUUGUUAGGACUCUUUAAUGCAUCUGAGGAAUGCAGAACUUGAACCUCUACAACUCCUGAAGCUCUGUGCCUUCUUAAAAAAGAAUGAAACAACAAGGAAAACAGAAGGAAAAAAAUUGUUUUAGCUGUUAAUGGAUCAAAUCCCAAUUUUUACGUAUAUAGACUUGUUAAGUAUAUAAUGUAAACAUCGGAUUGAACUGCACUGAUGAUGAAGAAUGAAAUUUGUGGUUUUCCUGCAUUGAGUACUAGAUUACAGUUUUCCCUGUGUUACUUGCAUGAGUGAGAAGCAUCCUUAUUUUUCUCUUUAUUUUCGAAAGGAAGCAACUAAUGAAAUGAUAAAAUUCUUUAUUCACAGCGUAAUGUUCUCCACUUUUUCUUGCUUGGCCUCCAGCACAAAAUAAAAAUAUUAUAAGUUCUGAUGGUUUCUUUAUCUGAUGAAAUAUGGAAGCUGUAAUUGAUGAGCAAAAGGCAGGCCUUUGAUAUUUGUCAGUAUUCUGAUUCUAACUGAAG
rnacentral:lncRNA from 1 species